rnacentral:rRNA from 1 species
UAACUGUGCAAAGGUAGCAUAAUCAAUAGUUUUUUAAUUGAAGGCUUGUAUGAAAGGUUGGACAAAGAAUAAUCUGUUUUUAUUUUUUCUUUUGAAUUUGACUUUUGAGUGAAAAGGCUCAAAUAAAUUUGGGGGACGAUAAGACCCUAUAAAUCUUUAUAUUAAGUUAUUUUUUUAACGGUUUAAUUUAGUAAAUAAAGUAAUAAGAUAAAAAAUAUUCUGUUGGGGCGACGAAAAUAUAAAUUUUAACUGUUUUGAAGUUUAAACAAAAUUGUUUGAGUGUGUAAUAGAUCCUUUGUGUAGAUUAAAAAAUUAAGUUACUUUAGGGAUAACAGCGUUAUUUUUUUUGAGAGUUCAUAUCGAAAAAAAAGUUUGCGACCUCGAUGUUGAAUUAAAAUUUCUCUAUAGUGCAGAAGCUAUGGUAGAGAGUCUGUUCGACUUUUAAAUUUUUACG